GGAGGAGUACUCAAGUUGGUCGAAGAGGCGUGACUCGAAAUCUCGUAGGGCAUGAAAGUGUCGCAAGGGUUCGAAUCCCUUCUCCUCCGCCA
rnacentral:tRNA from 1 species